GUGCUCACUUCGGCAGCAUAUAUACUAAAAUUAGAAUGAUACAGAGAAGAUUAGCAUGGCCCCUGCACAAGGAUGACACGCAAAUUCAUGAAGCGUUCCAUAUUUUU
ensembl:snRNA U6 U6 spliceosomal RNA